rnacentral:ncRNA from 2 species
CUGUCAGGAUCGGGAGAAUCCGGCGGGGGCCGCAAGCCUCGGAGCCGGUGCCGAAGGAGCAACCGCCCCGGUAAACUCUCAGGCGCAAGAACCGUUCUGGCACA